CGAGUAGCUGCAGCGCUACCUUCAGUAUCUGAAUCUUCCUCUCAGCAAUCAGCUGAGGUCCUUUCCCGGGUGACCAGGACUACGGCCAGGGGACAGGGGUCGCGGGCAGAGACUUCUCCCACAAUUUCGAUCCUUCAUUCCCAUUUCAGACGGCAUUCCGGUCAGACUUGGCCCUCCACUCUGGAAGCCAUCAGCAGGGAGUCGUGAUGAACUGUCAAGAUUUAGCAAAAGACCAAAAACUAAGUCCGGUAAGAAGUGUGCUCCCUGCUUUGAGCAUCAGCGACCCCCCUGGAGCGGGAAAGGAGGGCGGAUGAAGCAGACGACCAAGCCCCACACGUGUCCUCCAGUCCAAACAGACACGACCAGGCUGCAGCUGCCUACGAACACCCAAGGAAAUGGGCCCAGAGCCAGACCUCAUCACUGUCCUUGACAACCCCUCCACUCAAUUGAGGGAUUUUCCUAAUUUGGCAUGCUGUCUCCAGAUGGUGCAGCCUCUGGCUCAGGGAAAGCUCACGUCAAUACUGUUCAAGAAUGGGGAGGGCAUGCCUGCCCCCUCCUCUUUGGUCAGUCCAGCAAUUUUUCCAGCAAUAGUAGGCCCUGCAAUUGUUUGAUCUUAAUCUAUGGAGUUCCCAUCCAUAGAUGCUUCUCUCUAGAGGAUGUCCAUUUUUUUUCUGCCCAGAAUCAGGUGACACUACUGACCACCUACCCCUUUUCCAGUCUCCCUGGUUUAAUCUAGAAGUUUCAGAAUCAGCUUACUGAAAGGCAGUUUGGUAAAUACAUUAAAAGUCUUCAAACUCUAUAGACAUUUUGUCCUAGUAAUUCCAAUUCUAGGAUGUUAACCCAAGAAAAUAAUUGAACACAUCAAGAUCUAUAUACAAACAUAUUCAGAGAAAUUUUUAUAAAAGGAAAAAUUGAGAAUAACUUUAAGGUUUAGUUGGUGGUUGGAUAAAUAAAUCACGGUGCACCUAUGCAAAUGAAUUCUAUGUAACAGCUAUGUUGUAGCCAUUUUAAAUUACACUGGAGAUCUGUAGUUCCUGAAAUUAAAACAUAUUCACAAUUUCCUGUAAGGAGUAAAGCAAUCUACAAAACAGUACAUGUAAUAUGUUCCUGAUAUGGUUUGGAUCUGUGUCCCUGAACAAAUCUCGCGUCAAAUUAUAAUCCCCAGUGUUGGAGGUAGGGCCUGGUGGGAGGUGACUAGAUCAUGAGGGCAGCUUCUCAUGAAUGGUUUUCACCAUCAUGAGAUGGUUUAGCAUUCUCAUAAAUGGUUUAGCACCUUCUCCUUGGUGCUGUUCUCAUGAUAAUCAGUGAGUUAUCAUGUGGCAUCUCCCCACACCUUUACUGCUGCUCCAGCCAUGUGAAGACAGCUUACUCCUGCUUUGCCUUCUGACAUGAGUAAAAGCUCCCUGAGGCCUCCCCAGAAGCAGAUGCUGCCAUGCUUGUUGUACAGCCUGUGGAACUAUGAGCCAAUUAAACCUCUUUUCCUUAUAAAUUACCCAGUCUCAGAUAUUUCUUUAUAGCAAUGAGAGGAUGGGUUAAUACAAUUCCCAGUACAUGUCUCAUUUGACCUUCUGCGCCAUUUAACACUGCUGAUUAUUCCCUUUUACUUAAAUCUUUCGUAGUUUUUAUGACACCUCUUUCUUCAUUCCUAAUUUUUCUGUAAUUUCUCUGGCUGCCUAGGC
rnacentral:lncRNA from 1 species